CAGUCUCUCUCGGUUGCCUAGGCUAGAGUGCAUUGGUGCAAUCUCCGUUCGCUGCAACCUCCACCUCCAGGUUUCGAGUGAUUCUCCUUGAAAUGAAGGGAAGAUGCGAAGACGCAGACAGGAGCUUGUGACGGUCACCCAGUAAAACAUCCCCAGCUACAGCUGGAACUGAAGCCUCAGGAAUCCAGCCGUGGCUCAACCCAAGACCAGAGCGGGCAGCCGAGCAGUGGGCAGUGCUCCCUCUCUGUGGUCCGGCAGGCAGGAGGACCCCUGGCCCUGCACCACGCUGGUAAGGAAGGGACGAAUGGAGAGAAACAGCAUACGCUGGGCCUGGCGUGGGGGCUCACGCCUAUACCUCCAGCACUUUGAGAGGCAGAGGC